GUUUCACAGGCGCCCACAUGAUAGGGGAGCUGGAGGAACCUGCCGUCUCCGCCAUCGAGCGCCCCUCCGAGCUGGGGUUGGACGCUGCCAGUUUGCACAGCAGCAGGGAGACAAGAGACACACAGCCACAGAGGACAAGGCCAUAUGAGAUGGAGGCAGAGACUGGAGAGAUGCCGCCACAAGCCAAGGAUGUGUGGGGCCACCAGGAGCUGGGGGAGAGGCCCCAUCAACGAACAAAUGCAGACAACUCUUCCUGGAGUUUUGCAUUAAAGACAAGAAGCUGGGGGCACAGCGAGGGGGACAUGAGGUCAAGGCGCUGCUGCUUUGUUAGGUAGGGGAGAUUGAGCAUGUUUGUAUCCUGAUGGGAAUGGACAAGCAGCAGGAGCAUCUGAUGGCACAGCAACCAGGGGGCCACCCCUUAAGGACAGGUGGGCCGGCUUGCCUUGGAGCAUGGGUGCUUGCUCACAGGCUCGGGGCAAGGCACAGAUGCGGGAGGCACAGACGCGGCAGUGGGAGCAGCUGGGUCCAUCUUCUCCCAGCUCUGGGCACAGGUGGGAGGCACAGUGCGUGCUUUCCCUGCAGGCUUCCUGUGCUUCGCCCCGAGCCAUCUCCCCAGGUCUGAGUUCCUCUGCUGGUCCAGGAGGGUCUCAGUGCGGUGGGACAAACUCGUUCCAUUGGUGGAUGGAGACACACCCAGUGUGGACAGAGGCUGCAAGCAUCAGAGGGCGUGUCCAUGCGGCAGUAUUGGUGUCAUGGCCAUAAGGUUGGCACUUCCUACAGACUCCGGCCUUGCAUUUUCAGCAGCUGGAGCUGUUCACAGCAUCCUUCUCACAGGAGUUUUGGGAGCACAACCAGGUGGGGUAUGCUUGAAAGCCUUAGAGUGAGGACCAGCACACCCACCCUCCUGGUGUCCCAUGCAAAGCUGCUGAAGGGGCUGCUGUGGCUGAAAUCUGAGCUCUGGGUGGUGCCUGCAGGAGCCCAAGCAGCUCCAGAGGGAGCCCCAUUCCACUUGACCCCUUUUCCUUAUGGCAGAUUCAGCUUCCCUGGGGUGAAAUCGAGGGGCAUUUCCCAGUUAUCUCCAGGAGUAUGAAAUUUCCCUCUUGUUUCUGCCCACCUGAGGGGCUGCACUUGGACCCUGCCAUGGGAAGAGGUCUGUUCCUCUCUGCCUCCUGGGGGACCCCCUCCUUGUGUGAGUCCCCUCUGAAGCCCUGCAGAACCUGGUCUGGGUCCUGAACAGUCCUGCCGAGGCCUGGCCUGUUGGACACAGAUGCUCAAAAUCUACUCAGAGCAUGCUGGCCCCUGUGGAGUGGUUCCUGUUCCUGGGGGGCUUAAGUGAAUGAGGGCGAGUGAUUCCUUUAAACAUUCUUUAUGUGCUGGGCACAGGGCUAGGGGCUCAGGAACCAGGCGUGCGAAACCAUGCAUGGUCAUGGCCUCAAAGGCCGAGCUCACCAUAUGUGGACACACAUGGACAAGGGGGUCACUGACCUGGGAAGGCUGUGAGGGGCACUGGUCAGGGCAGGAAGGCCUUCCUAGAGGAAGUGAGUCAGGUGAGAAGAAGUUAAGGAGCACCGUUCCUCUUCUUGGGACCUUGGGCAUGUCUGUGUCCCCAGCUGUAGCAGAAUAAGGUGCCAUCUAUGGAUGUGGUGCUGUGUGGUCUCAUGUAGCCCCAUCCACGGCCUGACCUUCCUGAAAUCCAUAAACGCUGAGCUACAGAUGUCACAUGUGUCUAAGAUCACUGGACAGAAUUAGCAUGCCUCAAUGAAAAUGAACUACGUCCCCAAGUAAUGGCACGAUUGCAGUUAAACUUAUGCAACUUCAGAAAUAACGGCAGAUAAAGGGCUAGAGACGUAGAAACCGUGGCUGGCAUGAGGGAGGAGCUUAGUGAGCCAUGGGAUGAAGGAAUGUGGUGCCUGCAGGAGCCCGAGUGGCCAGGAGCCCUGCUCUUCCCACCGUGGGACUCCUAUGGCCUCCCCACCACUCCAGCCUCUGCCUGGGGCUCCUCUAGCCCCUCUAGUUGGGAGAGGUCAUCCCCCAACAGAGACACAAAGUAUCAAAAAGACAAGCAUGCUUUUGUUUCCUGUUUCCGUCAGGUGUUUCUCUGAUCCGUAAGAGCCUCCUGCCCGUUCAUCCAUCAACAGCCUCUGGGGACACCUUCGGCAGCAGGAAUCACUGGUGUUGGGUACUGAGUUUGAAUUUCUGUGCCCACCUUUGCGCUGGCACAAAGGGGCUGGCUAUGUGGAAGCAGAAUGUGGGGCCCUUGCUUUAAAGACCUCAGAGGCUGGUUGAAGGGAUAAACCUCACACCCCCAAAAUUGAGAGAAAACAUCAAGGGAGCUGCACCGCAGCACCACCUUGCUCUCUGGGCUUCAGCACCAGGGAGGCGGACAGCUCCAUUCACUGUGGCCGCCACCGCCCAUCCAGGACUCCAGCCCUCCCCGCAUCAUCGCUCUGCUUGGCUGUCGGGGGAGGAGAGCGGCUGCUGCUGUGCAUGGGUGCUUGGGGGCGGUGGGGGGUGGGGUGCAGAGGAGGCACCACCCUACCCGGGGCCAUCACCAACCAAUGGGGAUGGGAGCGGGUAGAUAAAUGCCCCAGCCUCCCCAGCGUCGGUGGACAGUUUGGAAGUGCAUUCAUUCUCCAUGGCUUCCCAGAGGGCCCCCAGCAGGCCUGAGCAGCAGCUCUUGUGAAACUGCCCUCCAUGGGCUGCUCUCUCUUCCUGUCUCACUGUGUGCUCCGUCCCUCACUUCAGCUUCCUGGUCUCACAUCCCAAACACACUACCUUCGUCCAAGUCCUUGUCUCCACCAGGGCUUACAUUUGGGGUGCCUAGAAAAGGAGAGAGCAUAUAAUCAAUGCCAGGGUGAGUGGGGGGACACCCAGAGCCAUGAGGUCCCAAGGAGGGGGCGAUGGCAGGGUGGCCCGUGAGGCAGGUGGUCUGGGCCCAAUCCCCGGCUCAGGAUGGACAGAAGGCAGGAGCAGCCUCUGUGGGGGCUGGUGACAGUGUGAGCUGGCCCAGCAGUGGGUGGGCUUGGCUCCAAGGGUGCCACAGGGACUGUGAAGCAGGCUGGAGAGGGUGGCGAGCGGGCCUCCAGUGGGAAAACCAGGCAUGGCACUGAGGCGGGCAGGUAAGUUCAGCCCUACACUCCUCCUCCUUCCGGCCGGACUCUCACGUGGAUCUCUCCUUCUGGCUGUGCAGGUUGGAUCUAUGAACACGAGACACAGAAACACCAGCUGGAGGAGCCCAGGAGGCCCAGCAGGUGAGGUUAUCCACAGAAUAGGCACGCCGCCCUAGUCCAUGGAUCACUGAGUGCCCAGACCAGGGCUUCAGGGGGUUCCAGCCGAGGCUUUGUGAACCGGAUCCUGGGUCACUGAGUAACCAGACUGGUCUCAGGAGGUUCCAGCUGAGGCUUUGUGAACCAGAUCCUGGGUCACUGAGUGCCCGGACCAGGGGUUCAGGAGGUUCCGGCCGAGGCUUUAUGAACCGGAUCCUCCUCUUUGCGUUUCAAACAGCGGGAACCAUCUUAGUCCAUGGGCCACUGAGUGCCUGGACCAGGGGUUCAGGAGGUUCCGGACGAGGCUUUAUGAACCGGAUCCUCCUCUUUGCAUUUCAAACAGUGGGAACCAUCUUAGUCCAUGGGCCACUGAGUGCCCGGACCAGGGCUUCAGGGGGUUCCAGCCGAGGCUUUGUGAACCAGAUCCUGGGUCAUUGAGUGCCCGGACCAGGGGUUCAGGAGGUUCUGGCCGAGGCUUUAUGAACCGGAUCCUCCUCUUUGCGUUUCAAACAGCGGGAACCAUCGUAGUCCAUGGGCCACUGAGUGCCCGGACCAGGGCCCCGGGGCUUCCUGACAGCAGGAACAACAGGAAUCAUUCAAACCCUGGAGCCCAGAGGGCAGGACGGGAGCGGCCUUUUGUCCCCCGCGGGCAGGCCAGGGAGGUGGACAGGCCGGGAGCCUGAAGCCUGAGCAGCUGGAGGCUCGCUCAUUCUCCCGUGGUCACUGUGUUCCCGGAGCCCCAACAGAGGGCCAAUUGUCCCACGGGGCGGUGCCUGGUGGGUGUGGUGUCUUGGCGGCAGCCACUGCCUGGCUGUUCUCAGGAUCCCAAUCCCAGGUGAAGGCUGCAGUCCUCUUGCUGUGUGUGGACUAUUUAGCUCCGUGGGCGGCCACCUUGCCAUGGGGCCACAGCAGCCAUUCCAGAGGCUCCCCCAGUGCCCUCCUCGCCCGGGGGGGGGUGCUCCCGGGUGUGGUCCGGCUGAGGAGUCUCACUCGCAGGAAAGGUGGCGUGUGACGGGCUGGAGCCGGCCUGCGAAGUCUGCCUGGUGGCCAUGGCUCAGGGGCCUGUGUCUCCCGGACGCCCCCAGCGGGGCCUCUCUUGAAGGGACUUUGUGCUCCUGCCAGGAGAAAACAGCCCUAACAGCUGCCUCCUGGGCCAUUUCCAAACAUUCGUGUGUCAGGCCAGAGAGCGCCAGUUCGUUGCCCUUUUGGGUGGUUCCAAACGUGUGGAGUUGGGGCCCUGGCAGCUUCGGACCACCAGCCCCCCUUCACUGAGGGGUUCGUCAUCACCAAGCCUCAGCCAGAGAUGUUAAACUGGAAAAACAAUCACGGACCCCCGUGGGGGAAGCAGCUUCUGGUCUGGGGACAGUCAUGAGCUCUGCAUGCAGCUGCCGGUGUCCCUUCUCGGUGCCUGGCGGGUAUCAGGGCUCACCCUUGGCCUGGCCACACCUACCGCCUCUCAGGCCCACACCUCUUCCCGGAAGACACCUGGAGGCUUCAACACCGGCUCACGCCCUUUCCUGGAAGAAACCUGGAGGCUCUGACGCCGGCCCACACUCCUUCCCGAAGAAACCUGGAGGCUUGGACGCCGGCCCAUACCCAUUUUUGGACACCGGGGGCUUCAAUAUCUGUGGCAUCAGCUCCUCAGCUCUCUCUUCCCUCAGCAUCCCACUGACCCGAAAUUCCAGGAGAUCCCGAGAUGGGCCAAACACAAAACAAGAAAACAACAAAAACACCCUCUCCAGAAAGUAGAGAGGAGGCUCGGAGUGAAGGUGUGAAGUGCUGUGCCCGGCACAAAGUUCAUCCGGACAGAGCGGCUCCUUCCCAUCUGAAGCUCCCAUUUUCCUACAGAAAUGAGUUCCGACAUGCACUGCACAGCUGCUCUCUCUCCGCUUUGCAAAGCAGGAACUCAUGAUGUCUGAUGAGAAUCCACUCUGCUCUGGUCUGAGCUGGGGCAAAUCUUCGUUUGUCCUCCGCCUGUCCAACCCAGCCCUCGCCUGCAGGGCAUCUCAGAGCCCAGCACCUUCCCUGACGCUCUGCUGAGCCCGGAGCCACUUGGAGCUCAGGAACAGCAGAGGGAGGGAGGCCACGGGGUCUCAGCACAGAACCAGCAAGUCCGAGGCUGGACAUCUGAGCAGCGGGUGGUUGACAGGGCCCAUGGGCAGACCCCGCGGGCAGAGGACCGGGGUCUCUGCCUCACCCGCUUCCACCGCCCUUGGGUGCACCUGGCCAAGGCCGUCAGCAAACCGAGCCAGGCCUGUGUCCUGGUUCCCUCAUGGGCUCAUGGUCCUCCUGCCACCCUGCGAGAGCACCCCCGUGCACGCUGCCUGCAGCUCCCAGCCGCGAACGGCAGAGGCCCAGUCCCGCCGUCACACCCUCGUCCCGCCUGGCUUUCAGCGACGUCACCUUUGCCUGGCAACAUUCAGGCGGGGCUGCUCAGGCCUGCUGAUUCCAUCAUUUAAAGACGCCCAUUUCUUCUAAGCCAGGGAUUUUAUGACGCUGAGGAUUAGAAGCUGUUAUCCCAACCAACCCUGGAGCACUCUGUUCUGAUUUGAUGGUAAGCUUCACUAAUAAACUGUUUAAAACAUACGCU
rnacentral:lncRNA from 1 species